rnacentral:rRNA from 1 species
UGGGGAAUCUUGCACAAUGGGCGAAAGCCUGAUGCAGCAACGCCGCGUGCGGGAAGACAGCCCUAGGGUUGUAAACCGCUUUCAGCAGGGAAGAAACUGACGGUACCUGCAGAAGAAGAUGCGGCCAACUACGUGCCAGCAGCCGCGGUGACACGUAGGCAUCAAGCGUUAUCCGGAUUUAUUGGGCGUAAAGAGCUCGUAGGCGGUUCGGUAAGUCGGGUGUGAAAACUCUGGGCUCAACCCAGAGAGGCCACUCGAUACUGCUGUGACUAGAGUGCGGUAGGGGGAGCGGGGGAAUUUCCUGGUGUAGCGGUGAAAUGCGCAGAUAUCAGGAGGAACACCAGUGGCGAAGGCGCUGCUCUGGGCUGUAACUGACGCUGAGGAGCGAAAGCAUGGGUAGCAAACAGGAUUAGAUACCCUGGUAGUCCAUGCCGUAAAACGUUGGGCACUAGGUGUGGGUCUCAACCAACGAGAUCCGCGCCGUCGCUAACGCAUUAAGUGCCCGCCUGGGAGUACGGUCGCAAGACUAAAACU